CAAAACAUAAAAAAUGGGUCUUUAUAAAUUUUUUUAAUAUCGAUGAAACAACAAUAAUAUAUUAACAUAAAUUUUUUCAAUCAAUUAUUCAAAAGAGUUUUCAAUCAAAAGAGAAGAAAAGAUAACUUACUAAGAAUUCAACAUUAACAGUAUAAGUUUCUUACUUUAUCUAAAUACAACACGUCUUGCAGUUUUAGAAGCAAAUGUAUU
rnacentral:lncRNA from 1 species